UGGAGAAGCAACUUCUAACCUUACAUGCCAGAUCAGACACUAGAAAUCACUAGGGCCUGACCCAUGCUCUGAAAAGACCUGAAAGGACCCAAAGCUUCCACUACUGACCUUAUCAAGAGAUGUAGUACAAAUAAAGCCUCACUUCAUAGCCAUCAUAAUCAGUCUUCAAAAACAUAGAGUGGAUUAAAAAUGGUGGCAUAAAGACCAACAGAAAAUAUGGCUUCUUUUGGCUCUGGAAUCAAGAAAGCUGAAAACCAA